AGGAAGAAAGAUUGAAAAGGUUGAAGCACAGGAUGAAGGUUUAUUUCGAUGCUUCGAGGUCAGAUCACCAGGUGUGGUUUCAUAUUCAUUUUCUGUGGUUCCAAUGUGCAUCCUAGUUACUUGAUUCCAAUCUAAACUUGAUCCACUGCGGUCCAUAACGCCAACAAUGUUGUUCUCACAUAUAAUCAAAACUCUCGUGCACAACACACAGAUGCAAUGGUUUAAAACUUACACACCUUCUGGGUUCGUUUUAUACUUCUUGGGCAACUAGUAAUGAAAUUUUCACGAGGA
rnacentral:misc_RNA from 1 species